rnacentral:rRNA from 1 species
AGAGUUGAUCAUGGCUCAGAUGAACGCUGGCGGCAGGCUAACACAUGCAAGUCGAGCGGGAAAUGUAGCUUGCUACAUUACCUAGCGGCGGACGGGUGAGUAAUGCUUAGGAAUCUGCCUAUUAGUGGGGGACAACAUCUCGAAAGGGAUGCUAAUACCGCAUACGUCCUACGGGAGAAAGCAGGGGACCUUCGGGCCUUGCGCUAAUAGAUGAGCCUAAGUCGGAUUAGCUAGUUGGUGGGGUAAAGGCCUACCAAGGCGACGAUCUGUAGCGGGUCUGAGAGGAUGAUCCGCCACACUGGGACUGAGACACGGCCCAGACUCCUACGGGAGGCAGCAGUGGGGAAUAUUGGACAAUGGGGGGAACCCUGAUCCAGCCAUGCCGCGUGUGUGAAAGAAGGCCUUUUGGUUGUAAAGCACUUUAAGCGAGGAGGAGGCUACCGAGAUUAAUACUCUUGGAUAGUGGACGUUACUCGCAGAAUAAGCACCGGCUAACUCUGUGCCAGCCGCCGC